UAUAAGCACGAAAAACACCUAGGAAUUGUAUGUUUGAAUAUUUUCAGACAUUUCAGAGGGCUGAGAAGUUAGUUUAAAGUUGUAUUUUAUUCUGUAUAUGCUUGUGUAAGCCACGUGGUUGUAUAAUAAGGAAUAAAUCAGUCCAACUUUGUCCACUAGAGGCCACAAGACACACUAUUAUGAUUUUCCUCCUGAAUGCUGACUUCAUGGUGAGCGCUUAGUUUUUUUUCGGUGGCAAGUAACACAUUUGAAUGCAGAAUAAUUUGAUGCUGACAUGGUAUAUAUGAAAGGUGGGUGAAAAACCUCCUGCAACCUCAGCAUUUGUUGUUUUAUUUUAAUGAAUUUAUUAAAGGACAACACACACUGGUUAUGUCUUCUAAAGUAAGACGGCGAGAGUAGUCCGACAUAUUGUGAAGGAAGAAACAAUACAGCAUAAUUUGGUAAUAUUGUUUUUAGAUAAUGCAUGCCAUAUUUAUCUGUUCGUUUUAUGUGUAUUUUACAGUCACUUAUUUUCUUUGUAUUUACAUUUAUAGUGCUCAAUCAUAUUUUACAAGUAAGUUGUCCUCUUUAAGUUAGAGAGGUCUCCUUUAAAAUCCUGUUGUUUCUUUACCCUUCUUUUCUGUUGUUUAGUCUAAAAGCUGCCAUCUGAUCUGAGGGACAACAAGGUUAAAAGUUCAUAACGAAUUCAAUGUAUACAAGAACCUAUUGAGCAGGAGGCCGAAAAGCGUCAACCCGGAACCAUGUUUUUAUAGUGUGAAGCCUCUUUGUCCACAAUAUCAACAGAGAGCUACCAGGGAGGUUCCUGUUCAGCUUCCAGUCCGGAGGAAAGUCAGAGUCAGCUGGGGACCACCCACCGUCUUUCUGAUGUUAAUGAACAUCACACAGCCUGCAGUUGUAAAUGGACACAAAUGUUGGCCAAACACUUGGCUCGCUGUUUUGCGACCAGACUAAAAACCCAAACAGAAAAUGUGUGUCAGAGAAAUGCGGGCUACAGCUUUUGCCAAGGUCACCUGCCAGAAAUCAAAUAAUGACGCAGAAUGAAGCAGAAAAAAUAAGUGGCGUUGUCUAGAAUUGUCAGAAUAGUUUUUUCUUUAUUUUCUACUUUUAAGUGAGACCCCUCAAUAAAGAUUUCCUAAACGAU